rnacentral:piRNA from 1 species
UGNGAAGCACCAGUUCAUAUCAGGCACUUA